AGAGUUUGAUCAUGGCUCAGGAUGAACGCUGGCGGCGUGCUUAACACAUGCAAGUCGAACGGAGUUUUAAACGGAAGUUUUCGGAUGGAAGUUUAAAAACUUAGUGGCGGACGGGUGAGUAACGCGUGGGUAACCUGCCUCAUACAGGGGGAUAACAGUUAGAAAUGACUGCUAACACCGCAUAAUAUAGCGAAACCGCAUGAUUUUGCUAUCAAAUAUUUAUAGGUAUGAGAUGGGCCCGCGUCUGAUUAGCUAGUUGGUGGGGUAAAAGCCUACCAAGGCGACGAUCAGUAGCCGGCUUGAGAGAGUGACCGGCCACAUUGGGACUGAGACACGGCCCAAACUCCUACGGGAGGCAGCAGUGGGGAAUAUUGGACAAUGGGGGAAACCCUGAUCCAGCGAACCGCCGCGUGAGUGAAGAAGUAUUUCGGUAUGUAAAGCUCUAUCAGCAGGGAAGAUAAUGACAGUACCUGACUAAGAAGCCCCGGCUAACUACGUGCCAGCCGCAGC
rnacentral:rRNA from 1 species